GUGGGGAAUAUUGGACAAUGGGCGAAAGCCUGAUCCAGCCAUGCCGCGUGUGUGAAGAAGGUCUUCGGAUUGUAAAGCACUUUAAGUUGGGAGGAAGGGCAGUAAGUUAAUACCUUGCUGUUUUGACGUUACCAACAGAAUAAGCACCGGCUAACUUCGUGCCAGCAGCCGCGGUAAUACGAAUGGUGCAAGCGUUAAUCGGAAUUACUGGGCGUAAAGCGCGCGUAGGUGGUUCAGCAAGUUGAAGGUGAAAUCCCCGGGCUCAACCUGGGAACUGCCUCCAAAACUACUGAGCUAGAGUACGGUAGAGGGUAGUGGAAUUUCCUGUGUAGCGGUGAAAUGCGUAGAUAUAGGAAGGAACACCAGUGGCGAAGGCGACUACCUGGACUGAUACUGACACUGAGGUGCGAAAGCGUGGGGAGCAAACAGGAUUAGAUACCCCAGUAGUCC
rnacentral:rRNA from 1 species